CAGUCGCCGCGGGAACACGAAGGGUGCAAGCGUUACUCGGAAUUACUGGGCGUAAAGCGUGCGUAGGUGGUGGUUUAAGUCCGUUGUGAAAGCCCUGGGCUCAACCUGGGAAUUGCAGUGGAUACUGGGUCACUAGAGUGUGGUAGAGGAUAGUGGAAUUUCCGGAGUAGCAGUGAAAUGCGUAGAGAUCGGAAGGAACAUCUGUGGCGAAGGCGACUAUCUGGGCCAACACUGACACUGAGGCACGAAAGCGUGGGGAGCAAACAGGAUUAGAUACCCGCGUAGUCCCUGUCUCUUAUAC
rnacentral:rRNA from 1 species